rnacentral:rRNA from 1 species
AUUUAACGCUGGCGGCAGGCCUAACACAUGCAAGUCGAGCGGCGCACCGGCCGGGUGCGUACUUCCUAUGAAUCUGCCUGGUAGUGGGGGAUCACGUCAGGUAACGGGAGCGCAUGCCGCAUACUUUCACAUUAGCAUAGGUCGGAUUAGCUAGUUGGUGGGGUAAAGGCCUACCAAGGCGACGAUCAGUAACUGGUCUGAGAGGAUGAUCAGUCACACUGGAACUGAGACACGGUCCAGACUCCUACGGGAGGCAGCAGUGAGGAAUAUUGGACAAUGGGCGAAAGCCUGAUCCAGACAUGCCGCGUGUGUGAAGAAGGUCUUCGGAUUGUAAAGCACUUUAAGUUGGGAGGCGUUACCAACAGAAUAAGCACAGGCUAACUUCGUGCCAGCCGCCGCGGUAAUAC